GUCGAACGAAACUUCUUUAUCACCGAGUGCUUGCACUCACCGAUAAAGAGUUGAGUGGCGAACGGGUGAGUAGCACGUGGGCAACCUGCCCAAAAGAGGGGGAUAACACUUGGAAACAGGUGCUAAUACCGCAUAACCAUAGUUACCGCAUGGUAACUAUGUAAAAGGUGGCUAUGCUACCGCUUUUGGAUGGGCCCGCGGCGCAUUAGCUAGUUGGUGGGGUAAAGGCUUACCAAGGCAAUGAUGCGUAGCCGAACUGAGAGGUUGAUCGGCCACAUUGGGACUGAGACACGGCCCAAACUCCUACGGGAGGCAGCAGUAGGGAAUCUUCCACAAUGGGCGAAAGCCUGAUGGAGCAACGCCGCGUGGGUGAAGAAGGUCUUCGGAUCGUAAAACCCUGUUGUUAGAGAAGAAAGUGCGUGAGAGUAACUGUUCACGUUUCGACGGUAUCUAACCAGAAAGCCACGGCUAACUACGUGCCAGCAGCCGCGGUAAUACGUAGGUGGCAAGCGUUAUCCGGAUUUAUUGGGCGUAAAGGGAACGCAGGCGGUCUUUUAAGUCUGAUGUGAAAGCCUUCGGCUUAACCGGAGUAGUGCAUUGGAAACUGGGAGACUUGAGUGCAGAAGAGGAGAGUGGAACUCCAUGUGUAGCGGUGAAAUGCGUAGAUAUAUGGAAGAACACCAGUGGCGAAAGCGGCUCUCUGGUCUGUAACUGACGCUGAGGUUCGAAAGCGUGGGUAGCAAACAGGAUUAGAUACCCUGGUAGUCCACGCCGUAAACGAUGAAUGCUAAGUGUUGGAGGGUUUCCGCCCUUCAGUGCUGCAGCUA
rnacentral:rRNA from 1 species